AUUGAACGCUGGCGGAAUGCUUUACACAUGCAAGUCGAGCGGCAGCGCGGCCUUCGGGCUGGCGGCGAGCGGCGAACGGGUGAGUAAUGCAUCGGAACAUGCCCAGUCGUGGGGGAUAACACUUCGAAAGAAGUGCUAAUACCGCAUACGUCCUGAGGGGGAAAGCGGGGGAUCGCAAGACCUAGCGCGAUUGGAGUGGCCGAUGUCAGAUUAGCUAGUUGGUGGGGUAAAGGCCUACCAAGGCGGCGAUCUGUAGCUGGUCUGAGAGGAUGAUCAGCCACACUGGGACUGAGACACGGCCCAGACUCCUACGGGAGGCAGCAGUGGGGAAUUUUGGACAAUGGGGGCAACCCUGAUCCAGCCAUUCCGCGUGAGUGAAGAAGGCCUUCGGGUUGUAAAGCUCUUUCGGCAGGAACGAAACGGUGGGCUCUAACAUAGUCCGCUAAUGACGGUACCUGAAGAAGAAGCACCGGCUAACUACGUG
rnacentral:rRNA from 1 species